GAUGAAGAACGUAGCGAAAUGCGAUAAGUAAUGUGAAUUGCAGAAUUCAGUGAAUCAUCGAAUCUUUGAACGCACCUUGCGCUCCUUGGUAUUCCGAGGAGCAUGCCUGUUUGAGUGUCAUGAAAUUCUCAACCUUUUCAGCUUUCUUUGUUGAUCAGGCUUGGAUGUGGGAGUAUGCGGGCUUCUCAGAAGUCGGCUCUCCUGAAAUGCAUUAGCGGGACCUUUGUUGCCUGGCUUUGGUGUGAUAAUUAUCUACGCCAUUGUAGUCAAGAAGCUUAAAAUGAGGUUUCAGCUUCUAACCGUCUCCCCUGAGACAACUUUUUGACAAUUUGACCUCAAAUCAGGUAGGACUACCCGCUGAACUUAAGCAUAUCAAUAAGCGGAGGA
rnacentral:misc_RNA from 1 species